rnacentral:lncRNA from 1 species
CGGAAGUAGAAAAUAGGCUUGUGUGGUUCCCUCUUUUCCAUUUUUAUCUGUACUUUGUAUUUUAUAGUUUCACAACAACAACCUAGUAAUCACACUUAGUGGGGUCUAGGGAGGGUAGUUUGUACGCAGACCUUACCCCUACCCUUGGGUAGAGAGGCUGUUUCUAAAUAGACCCCCGGCAUCCUUCCCUCCAAGAACUUCCCACCUUGCUCUUGGGAAGACUCGAACUCACAACCUCUCAGCUGGAAGUGGGGGUUGCUUACCAUCAGAGCAACCCCUCUUGUCUUGAUACUCACGGACCUGAGUGCAUUAAUAUGUUGUGUAUCAUAUUAUACAUCAGUUGACAGAUUUAGUGGUAAAGACUCAACAGCGAAAUUAACAUCACCAAAUAUUGGAUGAAAUCAACCAUCAUUUCUCGGUAAUAACAGCUCAUCCAUUGACACCAUUAUGAUGUAUAUCUCAGUAUAAUCACAGAGACGGAUUGCAGGAAAAAAAAUGAAAAAACAAGAACUAAAGAACUGUAGUCUAAUUUCACCUUUUGCAUAAGUUGCGACUAUGUCUGAACAUAGAAGAUUGUUUUUUGUGGCGCAAAAGAAAAGCAGACAAAUCCUCCAUUGAGUUGCACCCAUUCAAUAUGACUAACCAAUCCUUGAUGUACACAAAAAAAUUUAUGCACUGUUGGCAAAAUGUAAUUACAUUUGUAGGAUGAGCAUGCAUAAACCAACACUGUUGGCAAUAAUGAUUCAUGUAAUGCGCAAGCUGUUGGAAUUGCCAACUAAAACUCAGAUUAAAAGAUAAAACGUAAUGUACCCAAGGGUGUGACCUAGUGGUCAAUGCGCAAGUAUCUAAUGCGCAAGUUGUUGGAAUUGCCAACUAAAACUCAUAUUAAAUGAUAAUGUACCCAAGGGUGUGGCCUAGUGGCCAAUGCGCAAGUAUCCUGUGGAAUUAGGCGAGGUGCGCGCAAGCUGCCCGAGCACCACGGUUAUAAAAAGAAAAAGAAGAUAAAUGUAAUAAUCCAAACAAAAAUAGCAGAAAAUUUGCAGCAGAACCAUGACUGACAUAAUCUAUCAUUAAUUAGGAAAUGCGUUAAGUAAUAAAUAUUACUAGAUCCUAAAAGUAUGAGAUAUAACACCAUUUGUGAAAUAAUAACUCUAGCGUUUCAAUAAGCUAAGUGAAAAUUCUCACGUAUGCAAAGUGGGAUUAUACUGCGUUGUUAUUUUAUAGUCAAAGUGCUAUUCAAUUAGCGAAGAACCAAGUUUAUCAUGCAAAAACGAAGCACAUUGAUGUUCGGUAUCAUUAGUGGUGACUGCGAUCAAGUUUCAACAUUGUUGAACACUGAAGAUUGAAGAUGAAACACAACCAAAAUUUGUUACCGAGAGAAAAUUGAAGAUGUGGUAUUUCGCCAAGGUGGAGAUUUGUUGAAUAUGUCUUCAUCCCACAUCGGUGGGAGAUUCAUUUGGGGGAGAGUUUCUCCCUAUAAAAGGAGGCCUAAUGUUUAGGAUUUAAAUGCACCUCUCAUUUUCCUUCUCAUCUGUUUAAGGCAUUUGUAUCUUCUCUCUUUAGUAUUAUUUUACUUGUAUUUUAGAGUGAAAUAAAACGUUGGUUGUGUCCGAGGAAUAGGCAAAAUUGGCCGAACCUCGUAAAUUCUGGUGUUCCUUUUAUUGUUGCUUUAUUGUCUUAUUUAUUAUUUGGUGGUUACCAUAUUUUUUGGAAUAGUAGUUGUGACUCAUUCACACUAUAUACAUUUGGCUUCCGCAACAGUUUAUGCAAUGGACCAGGUAAAUCACAUGCUUAUCUAUGUGGUGAAUGCAGUUUUACUAAAGCAGUAUGGGAAAGGCUUAUGCAAUGGCUAUGAAUUCAUGUGGAUCCCAAGCAGUACUCUUUUACACAGAUGAUGGCAUGGGUAGUAAAACAAGCUAAGGGAAAAUCAUGUGCAGCUAGAGUAAUGAAAAUGGUAUAUGCAGAACAAAUCUAUGGGACAUAGAAGGAGAGAAACAAUAGAAUAUUUGAAGAGACAAACAUGACUGCAGAUCAAGUAGCAAGAGAAGUGGCAUGUGUUUGCAAUAUUAGAGCUCAAGGAGGAAUGAGGGCAAAACUGCAUCAGCUUAUGUUCUGAAAACAAUGUAGAAACUAACCAGUCAUUUGUAUAGUAUUCUUAUAUGUACUGCUCAUAGCGUAGGAUAGACCUAGACUAUAUGUAAAGAUUAAGUGAGUCGAGGACUCUACUGAUUUGUAAUGACCUCUUUAGUGAUUAAUGGAAAAUAUAAUUACAAAAAAAAAACUAGCUAUAAUCCUUUUUAAUUUUUUUUUCUUUUUUGAACCCCUUAGGGAAAAUCUUGCAUCCGCUUGUGGUCACAAAUGUUGUUAAACGUUCGCUUUGAUAAAACAUUAUUACUCCACUAUGCACGCAUCUUCUUUUGUGUUAGUCAAAAAUGGUCAUCACUUGAUGUUGAUGCUAUUAGGAGAGUUUUAUAAUGUCUUCGAAGGCUAGAUUCCGAUUUUUUUUCCCUCUCCUGGGUAUGCUCUGCCCUUUGCAUACGUGAGAAUUUUCACUUAGCUUAUUGAAACGCUAGAGUUAUUAUUUCACAAAUGGUGUUAUAUCUCAUACUUUUAGGAUCUAGUAAUAUUUAUUACUUAACGCAUUUACUAAGUAAUGCUAGAUUAUGUUAGUCAUGGUUCUGCUGCAACUUUUCUGCUAUUUUUGUUUGGAUUAUUACAUUUAUCUUCUUUUUCUUUUUAUAACCGUGGUGCUCGGGCAGCUUGCGCGCACCUCGCCUAAUUCCACAGGAUACUUGCGCAUUGGCCACUAGGCCACUCCCUUGGGUACAUUACGUUUUAUCAUUUAAUCCGAGUUUUAGUUGGCAAUUCCAGCAACUUGCGCAUUACAUGAAUUAUUAUUGCCCGCAGUGUUGGUUUAUGCAUGCUCAUCCUACAAAUGUAAUUACAUUUUGAUAAAAGGAAACUACAAAAUACAAAGUAC